rnacentral:rRNA from 1 species
GAUGAACGCUAGCGGCAGGCCUAAUACAUGCAAGUCGAACGAGAUUAAGAGGCUUGCUUCUUAUGAAAGUGGCGCACGGGUGCGUAACGCGUAUGCAACCUACCUUACUCAGGGGGAUAGCCCGAAGAAAUUCGGAUUAAGACCGCAUAAAAACACAGGAUAGCAUUAUCCAAUGUUCUAAUAUUUAUCGGAUUAAGAUGGGCAUGCGUGUCCUUCGCUAGUUGGCGGGGUAACGGCCCACCAAGGCGACGAUGACUAGGGGAUCUGAGAGGAUGACCCCCCAGACUGGGACUGAGCCACAGACCAGACGCGUACGGGAGGCAGCAGUAAGGAAGAUUGGGCAAUGAAGGGAACUCUGAACCAGCCACGCCGCGUGCAGGAAGACAGCCCUCUGGGUCGUAAACUGCUUUUAUUCGGGAAUAAACCUUUGUACAGGUAGGAAGCUGAAGGUACCGAAGGAAUAAGGAACGGCUAACUCCGUG